rnacentral:rRNA from 1 species
GACGAACGCUGGCGGCGCACCUAAGACAUGCAAGUCGGACGAGAGCUUCGGCUCUAGUGGCGGACGGGUGAGUAACACGUGGGGGACCUGCCCUUCGGUGGGGGAUAACGUCGGGAAACCGGCGCUAAGACCGCAUACGUCCCGGUACAUAGUGGUACCGGGGGAAAUGCGCAAGCAGCCGAUGGAGGGCCUCGCGGCGGAUUAGCUUGUUGGUGGGGUAAUGGCCUACCAAGGCCGCGAUCCGUAGCUGGUCUGAGAGGACGGCCAGCCACACCGG